UCAGAGAAGUUUACACUAAUGGAGCUUACAAAAUUGUGGCGGAAGACGGUUUGAGGAUCGGUCCCAUCAACGGAAAGUUCUUGAAAAAGUAUUAUGCUUGAAAAAAAAAGUAUGCUCCAAGUCUGCAUGAGCUGAAACUGCGCAAGACACAUAAAACAAAAAAAAAACAAAAAAAUGCUCCACGCCUGCAUGAGCUUAAACUGCACAAGGCACCAAAAAAAAAACCCCUUGAACUACGUGAUGACUUGAUUCUUUCUUUAGAAGGAUACGUAGGCAGCUUAAGAAUAACAAUCUUAAGUUCAGUCACAUCAAAAUAAAAAUAAGGGUUUGUCUGCCAAUCAUGCAAAUUCUUAUUUCACUGAUAGUAAGUUGAAUUUCAAAAUCGAUUGAUUACAAGAUGAUUGAAAAAAAAAAAAAAAGGAGGAGCAAGUCUUGACCAAUAAAGUCAGUUAUCACAUCCAGAUCAAACCCUUGAAGCUGCUCCGACGUUCUUCAAAGCUGGCUCUCAGUUCUGGAAUAUCUCGGAUUGGACACUUCUUCUUUUACUUGAAGCUGCUCCGACGUUCUUCAAAACUGGCUCUCAGUUCUGGAAUCUCUCGGAUUCGGCACUUCCUCUUUGACUUGAAGUCGUUCCGACGUUCUUCAAAGCUGGCUCUCAGUUCUGGAAUCUCUCGGAUUUGGCACUUCUUCUGUUUCGGAUCAACAAGUCUUGCAUCGUUCUUCAAACUCUUGAAAGCCUCCAUGUUGAAUGUGAUGCGUAAAGCCUAAUUCACUUUUGUUGACUGCCGUCAAGUCUAUGAAUUGAGAGCAGUCAAGCGAUUAGGUCGUUUACGUUCUUCAAACUCUUGAAAUCCUCCAUGUUGAAUGUGAUGCGUAAAGCCUAAUCCGCUUUUGUUGACUGCCGUCAAGUCUAUGAAUUGAGAGCAGUCAAGCGAUUAGGUCGUUUACGUUCUUCAAAUCCGCCAGAAAUCAAUGCGUUUCG